rnacentral:rRNA from 1 species
AGCAGCCGCGGUAAUUCCAGCUCCAAUAGCGUAUAUUAAAGUUGUUGCAGUUAAAAAGCUCGUAGUUGAAUUUCGGGAUCAAUACGUCGGUCGUGCUUUCGGGUACGUACUGGCGUCAUUGGUUUCUCCUUUCUGACGAACCAUGAUGUCAUUAAUUUGGUGUUAUGGGGAGUUAGGACUGUUACUUUGAAAAAUUAGAGUGUUUAAAGCAGGCAUUAGCUUGAAUACAUUAGCAUGGAAUAAUGAAAUAGGACGUUCGAUCCUAUUUUGUUGGUUUCUAGGAUCAACGUAAUGAUUAAUAGGGAUAGUUGGGGGCAUUAGUAUUCAAUUGUCAGAGGUGAAAUUCUUGGAUUAUUGAACCGAUAACUACUGCGAAAGCAUUUGCCAAGGAUGUUUUCAUU